AGGACGAACGCUGGCGGCGUGCUUAACACAUGCAAGUCGAGCGGUAAGGCCUCUUCGGGGGUACACGAGCGGCGAACGGGUGAGUAACACGUGAGCAAUCUGCCCUUCACUUCGGGAUAAGCCUCGGAAACGGGGUCUAAUACCGGAUAUGACCGUGCCAUGCAUGUGGUGUGGUGGAAAGUUCUGGCGGUGGAGGAUGAGCUCGCGGCCUAUCAGCUUGUUGGUGGGGUAAUGGCCUACCAAGGCUUCGACGGGUAGUCGGCCUGAGAGGGUCGACCGGCCACGCUGGACUGAGACACGGCCCAGACUCCUAGGGAGCAGCAGUGGGGAAUAUUGGACAAGUAGGGCGAAAGGCCUGACUCCGAGCAACGCCGCGUGAGGAUGGACGGCCGUUCGGGUUCGUUAAAACCUCGUUUC
rnacentral:rRNA from 1 species